rnacentral:rRNA from 1 species
GUGUCAGCAGCCGCGGUAACACGUAGGAUCCGAGCGUUAUCCGAAUUCACUGGGCGUAAAGAGCUGGUAGGCGGUUGGAUAAGUUGGAUGUGAAAUCUCCUGGCUCAACUGGGAGAGGCCGUUCAAGACUAUCCUGACUAGAGGGCGAUAGAGGUAGGCGGAAUUCCCGGUGUAGUGGUGAAAUGCGUAGAUAUCGGGAGGAACACCAGAGGCGAAGGCGGCCUGCUGGGUCGCACCUGACGCUCAGAAGCGAAAGCUAGGGGAGCGAACGGGAUUAGAUACCCCCGUAGUCC